AGCUGCCACUACUGCCGCUCUCUGCCCGCCGGCCCGUCUACCCCCAGCAUGAGCGGCCUGUGCGUCUACAGCACGUCGGUCACCGACUCCUGCGAAAUCAAGUCCCAGCAGAGCGAGGUGACCCGAAUCCUGGAUGGGAAGCGCAUCCAAUACCAGCUAGUGGACAUCUCCCAGGACAACGCCCUGAGGGAUGAGAUGCGAGCCUUGGCGGGCAACCCCAAGGCCACCCCACCCCAGAUUGUCAAAGGGGACCAGUACUGUGGGGACUAUGAGCUCUUCGUGGAGGCCGUGGAACAAAACACGCUGCAGGAGUUCCUGAAGCUGGCCUGAGUCAAGCCUGUCCAGAGUUCCCCUGCUGGACUCCAUCACCACACUCCCCCCAGCCUUCAACUGGCCAUGAAGGACCUUUUGACCAACUCCCUGUCAUUCCUAUCCUAACCUUAGAGUCCCUCCCGCAAUCCAGGCCACUUCUCCUCCCUCCUCUCUAAAUGUAGUCCCCUCUUCUCCAUCCAAAGGCAACAUUCCUUACCUAUUAGUCUCAGAAAUUGUCUUAAGCAACAGCCCCAAAUGCUGGCUGCCCCCAGCCAAGCAUUGGGGCCGCCAUCCUGCCUGGCACUGGCUGAUGGGCACCUCUAUUGGUUCCAUCAGCCAGAGCUCUGCCAAAGGCCCCGCAGUCCCUCUCCCAGGAGGACCCUAGAGACAAUUAAAUGAUGUCCUGUUCCAUUGG